AUUGAACGCUGGCGGCAUGCCUUACACAUGCAAGUCGAACGGUAACAGGGAGCUUGCUCCGCUGACGAGUGGCGAACGGGUGAGUAAAGUAUCGGAACGUACCUUUCAGUGGGGGAUAACGUAGCGAAAGUUACGCUAAUACCGCAUAUUCUGUGAGCAGGAAAGCAGGGGAUCGCAAGACCUUGCGCUGAUUGAGCGGCCGAUAUCAGAUUAGCUAGUUGGUGAGGUAAAGGCUCACCAAGGCGACGAUCUGUAGCGGGUCUGAGAGGAUGAUCCGCCACACUGGAACUGAGACACGGUCCAGACUCCUACGGGAGGCAGCAGUGGGGAAUUUUGGGACAAUGGGGGGCAACCCUGAUCCAGCCAUGCCGCGUGAGUGAAGAAGGCCUCGGUUGUAAACUGCUUUGUACUAGAACGAAAGGUACGUCUAUUAAUACUAAGGGCGUCAUGACGGUACCGUAAGGAAUAAGCACCGGCUAACUACGUAGCCA
rnacentral:rRNA from 1 species